rnacentral:rRNA from 1 species
AGGGUGCAAGCGUUAAUCGGAAUUACUGGGCGUAAAGCGUGCGCAGGCGGUUCGGAAAGAAGGAUGUGAAAUCCCAGGGCUUAACCUUGGAAUGGCAUUCUUAACUGCCGAGCUAGAGUAUGUCAGAGGGGGGUAGAAUUCCACGUGUAGCAGUGAAAUGCGUAGAGAUGUGGAGGAAUACCGAUGGCGAAGGCAGCCCCCUGGGAUAAUACUGACGCUCAUGCACGAAAGCGUGGGGAGCAA